rnacentral:rRNA from 1 species
GCUUCCCUCUUUCUUCGUGCUUAACACAUGCAAGUCGAACGGUGAAGGCGGAGCUUGCUCUGCUGGAUCAGUGGCGAACGGGUGAGUAACACGUGAGCAAUCUGCCCCUGACUCUGGGAUAAGCGCUGGAAACGGCGUCUAAUACUGGAUACGAGCUGCGAAGGCAUCUUCAGCAGCUGGAAAGAACUUCGGUCAGGGAUGAGCUCGCGGCCUAUCAGCUUGUUGGUGAGGUAACGGCUCACCAAGGCGUCGACGGGUAGCCGGCCUGAGAGGGUGACCGGCCACACUGGGACUGAGACACGGCCCAGACUCCUACGGGAGGCAGCAGUGGGGAAUAUUGCACAAUGGGCGAAAGCCUGAUGCAGCAACGCCGCGUGAGGGACGACGGCCUUCGGGUUGUAAACCUCUUUUAGCAGGGAAGAAGCGAAAGUGACGGUACCUGCAGAAAAAGCGCCGGCUAACUACGUG